rnacentral:rRNA from 3 species
GUGGGUAGUUUGACUGGGGCGGUCUCCUCCUAAAGAGUAACGGAGGAGCACGAAGGUUGGCUAAUCCUGGUCGGACAUCAGGAGGUUAGUGCAAUGGCAUAAGCCAGCUUGACUGCGAGCGUGACGGCGCGAGCAGGUGCGAAAGCAGGUCAUAGUGAUCCGGUGGUUCUGAAUGGAAGGGCCAUCGCUCAACGGAUAAAAGGUACUCCGGGGAUAACAGGCUGAUACCGCCCAAGAGUUCAUAUCGACGGCGGUGUUUGGCACCUCGAUGUCGGCUCAUCACAUCCUGGGGCUGAAGUAGGUCCCAAGGGUAUGGCUGUUCGCCAUUUAAAGUGGUACGCGAGCUGGGUUUAGAACGUCGUGAGACAGUUCGGUCCCUAUCUGCCGUGGGCGCUGGAGAACUGAGGGGGGCUGCUCCUAGUACGAGAGGACCGGAGUGGACGCAUCACUGGUGUUCGGGUUGUCAUGCCAAUGGCACUGCCCGGUAGCUAAAUGCGGAAGAGAUAAGUGCUGAAAGCAUCUAAGCACGAAACUUGCCCCGAGAUGAGUUCUCCCUGAGACUUUAGGUCUCCUGAAGGAACGUUGAAGACGACGACGUUGAUAGGCCGGGUGUGUAAGCGCA